AUGCCUGACUCCUCCCCAGAAACAGGCCCUGACCCCCGCAGCCGCUCACCCUGGCCGACCUUCACAGAACACCCCAGCAUGAGGACACCUUCGGGUCCCUGGCAGAAGACAGCCCAGCCUCACCUACCUUCUCCAAGAGCAGCCCUGGGUCCCCUGAGCCUCCCGGGAAUAAACUUGAAUGAACCUCCCCCCCACACACACACACACACAGAAAGCCUCCCUACCCCUCCCCAUGACAACCUGGAAGCAGCCUUACCCCACACGGACCAGCGCUUGACACCCCCUCCAAGAACAGCCUCCUCCCCACAGAGCCCCGCAAUACCCCCCUCCCCCCCCCAACAGCCUCUGGUCACCCCAGACCGCGGCCCUCUUCCCCAGGACCAGCCCAGACCCCUGAGGGAAACCGGGCUCUCUCCCUGCCCAGCCGGCCCCCCUUCAGGAAAAAUCUCUGCCUCCCAGGAUUUCACUGACCCCGCAGAGCCGAGUUUCCAGCGCUGUCUGUGGUCUGGGCCCGCUUUCUUCCCGAGCCUGGGUGGACCCUGCCUGCCUAGAAAUGUGGCCCCAGGAUGUCCAGGCUCUUCCCAAGGCCACUGGCCUGGCCUGAGUGGGGGAGCUGAGGGUCCCCAGGGGCUGGAGCAGGAUGGGAGGGGUAGGGGAAGGGGGGAGCAGGAAGGGGCUGUCGGAAGCCCACUUAUCUGCAGGAAGCACCUUGGGAAGCACGUGGCCCAGCCCUGGAGAGAGGAAGCUAGUGCUUCCCGGCCCCCCUCCUGUCUCCACUGUCUUCCUGCCCCUGUUCUCCCCUCCCUGAGUCACCCAGAGCUGCCCCCCCACCGUGUCCCUCAUCCCUCCCACUGUGGCAGCUGCAAGGCCAGCCGUGCUCACCGGAGUCCCCGAUUCGUGGUGGGACUGAAGGAGGAGGCUCACAACCAGCUGCAGAGCAGCCCCAGGGCUCCGUGCUCUCCCUGUAAACCUACCCUUGACCUGGAGAGCCAGGCGCCCAUGUGGCCACCCAUCCUGGACCUCACGGAGGCCCCCUCGGCCUCCCCAGCAACCCACUGGCCUCGGCUCAGGCGGGCCUGCACUGCCAGGGCUGUUUCCACAGAGCACCUGGCGCAAAGGAUGGGUACAUAAUGAACGAAUGCCAAACCGGCACCACUCCUCUGGACCCACCACCACCCUGGCAAAUGGCAAAAGUUCCAAUACCCAGAAGCACCUUACCCACACAAUGUCCUCCUGUCCCUGCAACAUGGUGGGUUUACAGAGGAGGAAGCCCAGGGACAAGCUAUUUUGUGGAGAAUAAAAGACCCCCAGGCUCUUCACCACCUCCCAGCCUCACCCCGCUGCUCUCCUGUCUCUGUCCUUGAAGGAGAGAUGUAGCUCGGCAACUGCUAGUGACCGAGAUUCCAGCCUUGGGAAGAAAGCAACGCUGCAAGGAACAUAGAUACAGGAGACGAGGACGGUCCUGAAGGAGCUUGAGCCCCCAGACUCAGUCCCUGAAAUCUGCUUUUCUUGCCUUUGGUUUCAAGAGCCAAGGGUCCCUAGAAGGGGCUUUCCCUUCUAGGCUGAAAAUCCAUGGAAAAGAGAGGCUGAAGGGCUGGCCCUAGGGCAAGGGCCUCGACUGGAAUCCCAGCUCAGCCACGCGAUACCCCAGUGGCCUGAGAAAGCCUCCUUGCUUCCCUAUGUCUCCCUGUGAGCUCUGGUACAUUGGGUACAAUGGUAAGAAUUACUUCAUUCCCUCCCUCAUUCAGGCCACAGACCAAAAACCUGCCUUUGGGCUGACAAGGUGGCUCCUUUCCCCCUGGGCUGUUGUGCAGGUUAGAUGAGGUCCAUGGAUGUGACAUGCUCACCAUGUGCCUGGUACAUAGUGAACACAUUUUUGGUAUGAUCAUAAAGCUAGUUCAGAUUUGGUUUCUGUCAUCUCAACCAAAGGAGUGCAUUCUAAUGCACAUUCUUCAUGUAUAGUGGCAAAACUCAGAGGCGUGAGAAGGGACAGCUGGUCUUUGUUGUAAGUUCUUAGAAAGAGCAUUAGACUUAAAAUAUUAUUUUAACAGUGAAAUUAAGAGUGAGAAAUAUAUGCCUAGUUAAUUUCACACUUAGGAUUCUACUUACCCUUUGGUUCAAGACUGUGAGGUUUUGGGGGUUUUUUUUUGCAGUAUGUAGCCCUCUCACUGUCGUGGCCUCUCCCGUUGCAGAGCGCAGGCUCCGGACGCGCAAGCUCAGCGGCCAUGGCUCACGGGCCCAGCCACUCCGCGGCAUGUGGGAUCCUCCCGGACCGGGGCAUGAACCCGUGUCCCCUGCAGGGGGGACAGCGCAGUCAACGACUACGCCACUGCGCAGUCAACCAGCGCAGUCAACCACUACGCAACCACUAAGCCCCAAGACUGUGAGUUUUGCCUACAUGUUUACCUCUUCUACCCAAAGGUCACUGACAAUUUAAGAACUAUGUGAGGUGUUUUUUUUUAAUUAUUAUGGUAAAUAAUACAUAACAAAAUUUACCAUCUUAACCACUUUUAAGUGUAUGAUACAGUAGUGUUAAAAGGAACAAUAUAUUUUUUAAAAUAAUAAGUCCAUCCUAGUGUUAAAAGACAGGCACAUGGAUUGUGAAUAAAAUCUGUGAAGACAUGAUACGGACGGAUCAGAAGAUGGAAGAGCCAACAAAAGCUGAAGAGUCGGCUGCACAGCCCUAAUGUCACAGCAACUUCUGGGGAAGGGGCCAGCUGGGCACAGUGGGACCAUGCUGGAGUGGGGCGGGGUCAGCUGACUUCAGCUGCAGGGCACAGAACUGCUCCCUGAGUAUAGUGGGCGGGGGACUGGAGAGACCCCUGGGCCAGAAGAGAAGUGGGGCUGUUAUUGCAGGGAGAGAGGGGCUUAACUUUUUAUGAAAGGUAAUUCCUAGCCCCUCCUUCACAACUUUCUGAAUGACAGGGGAUCCCCAGCCUACUUUCUGCCAGGGUCCCCUUGCACUCACACGUCCCCACCCACCAUCUUGAAGGGAAGCCCUCCUAGGGAUAAAUCCCACUCAGUUCAUUCUUUUUGUUCUGAGCAGCAUUCCAUUUUAUGAAAAUACCAUGUUGAUAUGCAUAUUUGGGUUGAUUCUAGUUUGGGACAGUUAUGAAUAAAACUGCUGUGAAUAUUUUUGCUAACUUUUAAAGAAACUGGCAAGCAGUUUUCCAGAAUGAUAGUACCAUUUUACAUUCCAGCUUUUCCCAUCUCCUCCAUAUCCUUGCUAACACUUGGUAUUUCCUGUCUUUUUAAUUUUUAGCCAUUCUAAUGGAUGUAUAGUGGUAUCUCCUUGUGUGAUUAAAUUUGCAUUUCUCUGAUGACUAAUGAUAUUGAGCCUCUUUUCAUAUGCUUAUUAGCCAUUCACAUGUCUUUUGUGAAGUGUCCAUUCAAGUCCACUGACCAUUUUUUUAAAAAUGUGUAGUUUACCUAAUUGAAAUUUUGAAGCUCUUUAUAUAUUGUGGGAACAAAUUUUUUUGUAAGAUACGUGUAUUGCAAAAGUUCUCUAAUUUUGUAGCUUCCUUUCACUUUCAUAGUAGUUUCCUUCAAACAACAGAAGUUUUUUGUUAUUAUAGAGUGAGCUUAUCUUUUUUCUUCUAUUAUUUAUAUUCUGUAUCCUAUCCAAGAAAUUUUUUCCUCCUGCAAGAUCAUAAAAUUUUCUCCUGGGUUUUCAAUGAGAAGUUGUAGUUUUAACUUUUCAUUUAGUUCUAUGAUUAAUUUCAAGUUAAUUUUUAUUUGUGGUGUCAAGAAAAGGUUGAUGUUUGUAUUUUCCCUUUUGGGGUGUCCAGUUGUUUCAUUCCAUUUUUUAAUUAUUUUAAAAUAUUUUUAUUUACAUUGUUUUGCAACCAUCACCACUAUGUCCAGAACGUUUUCAUCAUGCCAUAUGGAAACUCUGUGCCCAUUAAGUAGUAACACUCCAUUCCCCUCCCCCGGCCCCUGUAACCACUUUUCUACUUUCUGUCUCCACCACUAUUUUAGGGACCUCUCAACACCAUUUUUUUUUUUUUUUUUUUUUUUUGUGGUACGUGGGCCUCUCACUGUUGUGGCCUCUCCCAUUGCAGAGCACAGGCUCCGGACGCGCAGGCUCAGUGGCCAUGGCUCACAGGCCCAGCCGCUCCACGGCAUGUGGGAUCUUCCCGGACCGGGGCACGAACCCGUGUCCCCCGCAUCGGCAGGUGGACUCUCAACCACUGUGGCACCAGGGAAGCCCUCAACACCAUUUUUGAAAACUCCUUUCCCACUGAAUUGCCUUUGCACUUUCUUUACUUUUCCUUUAAUCUAUAUUUAUAAUUUUUUUCAUUUAUUUAUUUAUUUAUUUAUUUUUUUGGCUGCGUUGUGUCUUCAUUGCUGCACGCAGGCUUUCUCUAGUUGUGGUGAGCGGGGGCUACUCUUGGUAGUGGUGCGUGGGCUUCUCACUGUGGUGGCUUCUCAUGUUGCGGAGCACGGGCUCUAGGAGUGCGGGCUUCAGUAGUUGUGGCAUGCGGGCUCAGUAUUUGUGGCUCACAGGCUCUAGAGGGCAGGCUCAGUAGUUGUGAUGCACGGACUUUGUUGCUCUGCAGCAUAUGGGAUCUUCCUGGACCAGGGCUCGAACCUGUAUCCCCUGCAUUGGCAAGCAGAUUCUUAACCACUGUGCCACCAGGGAAGCCCUAAUGUAUAUUUAUACACUUUCUCCAAUACCACACUUAUCUUAAUUUCUAUAACUCUAUACUAAGUCUUGAAAUCAGAUAGUGUAAGUCCUACAACUUCAUUCUUUUUUAAUUUUGUUGGCUAUUCUAGGUCAUUUUCAUUUCUAUGUUUUAGAAGUUUUAGAAUCAGCUUGUCAAUUUCUACAAAAAUUAAAAGCCACCUGGGAAUUUAAUUGGGUAUUGCAUUGAGUCUAUAAAUAUAUUUAGAGAAAAUGGACAUCUUAACAAUAUUGAAUCUUCUAAUGUUUGAACAUGGUAUGUCCCCCAUUUAUUUUGUUUUCCUCAGGUAUCUCAGCAAGGCUUAGUAGUUUUCAGGGUUGCAUUCUUAAACAUUUUGUUAAAUUUGCUCCUAAGAAUUUCGUUAUGUCACGUUAUUACAAAUGAAAUUGUUAAAUUUCAUGCUAUAAUUGUUUGUUGCUAGUAUAUAAAAAUACAACUGAUUUUUGUAGGUAAAUUUUGUAGCUUAUAACCUUGUUAAAUUCACUUCAUUUUAUAGUAUUUUUGUAGAUUCCUUAGGAUUUUCUACAUAAAUCGUCAGCAAAUAGCAAAAUACUUCCUUAUUUUGAAUGUUUAUGCCUUUCAUUUAUUUUUCUUGCCUUGUUGCAAUGACCACCAGUACAGUGUCAUACAGAAGUGAUAAGAGCAGGCAUUCUUGCUUUUCUCUCAAUCAUCAGUAGAAAAUGUUUGCUAUUUCACCAUGAAGUAUGUUAUCUGAAGGUUUUUUUAUAGAUACCCUUUAUCAGAUUUAGAAAAUUACCUUGUAGUCCUUGUCUGUAGAGAGUUUUUCAUUAUGAACAGAUAGCUGACCCACUUAAGGAACAUUUUGAUACCUUACCCAAUAACUGCGUACAUCCUAUCGGCCAGAACUGGGUCUGGCUGCAAGUGAGGCUAGAAAAUGUUCUUUCUUAAGUGAGCACAUUACUGCCUCCUAGAAAACCAGGGCUCUGUUAAUAAGGAAGAAGUCAUGAUGGAUAUCAGAAUAGGCAACUAGCAAGAUGCCACUGUGGGUAUACAAUUCUAGAUUAACAGUUAUUGACAUGCCACAUUUUAAACUUACUAUUCUAUUGUCAUCUUGUUGCCAUUAAAAUAAAUACUGUUUUGAAUUGUUAUUCUUUCUGUAGGUAAUUUGUUCUCUCUGGCUACUUUUCAGACCCUGUUGUCUUUAAUAUUAUUCAAUUUCAAUAUGAUGUGCCUAGGUGUUCUUUUAGUUUUAUUUAUCCAGUUUGCGAUUUGUUGUGAUUCCUGAAUCUGAGGAGUUAUGUCUUUCAUCAAAUCUGAAAAUUCUCUGCUAUUAUCUUUUUUAAUAUUGUACCUCCUCAGUAUCUUCUUUUAAAAAUAUGUUAGACCUCAUGUAUGAACGUUGAAAACAUUAUGUGAAGGGAAAUAAGCCAUUCACAAAGGGCAAAUAUUAUAUGACUCUACUGAUCUGAGGUUCCUAGAAUAGGCAAAUUCAUAGAGACAGAAAGCAGAAUAGAGGUUACCAGGGGCUGGGGAAAGGAGAGAAUAGAUAGUAUUGUUAAUGGGGACAGAGUUUCUCUUUGAGAUAAUGAACAAGUUCUGGAAAUGAAUAGUGGUGAUGGUUCUACAACAUUGUGAAUAUAUUUUGUUAAAUUAUAAAUUGUGAAAAUUUUUAAAAGAUUGAAAUUUUUAAUAUAUAUUAGACCUUCUCACUGUAACUUCUAUAAAAUGGUCUCAUCUCCCAGUCUAACUAUUUUGCAUUCAGUCUACCAUCUUCUAGUUCAAUAAUUCUCAGUUGUGUCUAGGCUGCUAUUAACCUGCCCAUUGAAAUUUCAAUUCUUAUAUUUUUCAUUUCUAAAGUUAUAUUUCGUUUGUUUUAAAAUCUAUCAGAUUCUUUCUUUUCCUUUAUCCUUUUUUUCUGAUGCUUUCUAACAGUUUCUCAUUCCUUGUUCAGGUUUUCAACUGCAUCUUUUAUCUCUGAGGCCAUUUUUAGCAUCCUUACAUGUUUUGUAAUUUUUAGAUUGUGAUCUCAUGUUUGGUUAAUCCAAACUGUGGUAAGCUGGAGGGAUUGAACUCCUCCAGAGGUGAUUUGCAUUUGCUCCCGCUAGGUGCCUCAAUGCUGCCAACAUAUAACCACUCCUACUCAAUUCUAAACCACCCAGGUAGGGAAUUCCCUUAUGGUCCAGUGGUUAGGACUCCACACUUCCGCUGCUGGGGGCGCAGGUUCGAUUCCUGGUUGGGGAACUAAGAUCCUGCAAGCUGUGCAGUGUGACCAAAAAAAACCCAUCCAGUAUAUAUUUAAAACCCACACCCAUUUGAAGGUAAAAGUCUGUACUUAUGAAUUCUGAAGGGAGAUUUGAUUUCUGUCUUGUGGUGAGUUUGUCACAAAUUUUCUCAUUUCUCUUUCCUAGAAAGGAGAUUUUUUUUCCUAGCCUUUGUAACCUUUUACUGAAAUUACGAGUCUUUAAUAAUCCUGACUUUAUGUGGGUAUCAAAAUACCAACUUCUUAUAUUGCAUGGGCCCACAUCCCUUUCUCUUGCCUUCUAUGCAGCCAUUAAAACCCAGAGCUUUAAGUUCCUGGUAUUGAGAACGUCCCUGAUAUCACGCUUGCUUACCCUGUUGCUUUUAGUUUCUACUUGCUAGAUUUUGCUCAGCGUUUCCCAGUGUUUCACAAUAGAGGGGUUUUAGGUUAUAUUGCUGGAAAUCUGUUUUUCUUAUUCAGCCACAGCAGUCAGCACACAGAAGUGUUUAAUGAUUGUUUGCUGGUCAGAUAUUAAAUGAGUCAAUAAAUGAACAGAAAGACAUCCUGCAUUUUAUUUUACUUUUUAAAAUAAAUUAUUUAUUUUUGGCUGCAUUGGGUCUUCGUUGCUGCACGCAGGCCUUCUCUAGUUGUGGCGAGAGGGGGCUACUCUUUGUUGCGGUGUGCGGGCUUCUCAUUGCGGUGGCUUCUCGUUGUGGAGCACAGGCUCUAGGCGCACAGGCUUCAGUAGUUGCAGCACGCGGGCUCAGUAGUUGUGGCUUGCAGGCUCUAGAGCGCAGGCUCAGUAGUUGUGGCGCACGGGCUUAGUUGCUCUGCGGCAUGUGGGAUCUUCCUGCACCAGGGCUCGAACCCAUGUCCCCUGCACUGGCAGGCAGAUUCUUAACCACUGCGCCACCAGGGAAGUCCAACAUCCUGCAUUUUAAAAUGUUUAUUACCCACACACAACAAAGUAUGAGGGUAAGGCACUAGGAAUACAGCAGUGAUCAAAUGGGUCCCUCCUGGUCAACCACAUCCUCUCAUUCACUGAGAACUUCAGCACCCUGAUGACAGGUUGUCUGCUCACUCCAAGUUCUGACAUCCUCCAUGUCUCUCCAAGUGAUCCCUCACACCAUGGCCUCCCAGUUCCUCCACCUCUCAUCUCACUGACUGUAAAAGCUAGGGUUUAGGUGUAGAUUAUAGACGCACGUAUGGCUAGUUUGAGCAGAAAGGUAUUUAAUACAUGGAAUUAGUGUCUACAACGUCAUUGGAAGUACUGAAAGUAGCACUUACCCUGAGCUGCUAGAAAUAUACUCUCCCCCAACAAUACCACAGAACUAGUCCCCUGGGGAUUUGUUCUUUUUUGCCACAGUCAGCAAACUGAGGUGUCAGAAAACUGAUAUUCCAACUGCUGGCUCCAACAGACCACACCUCGGAGUCUGUAUUUCCAGCCCCUUUCGCAUCUAGGUAAGGCCAUGUCACAGAGUUCUGGAAUUGGUUUGGGUAGAAAUGAUGUGUGCCACUCCUAGGCCUAACCCAUAAAUACCUCCUGCUUAUCCUGCACGCUCUCUGUUCGCUCUUCCGCUGGCUGAAUGUAGGCGUCUAGGAUGACCUUAAAUCCACAUGUCACAAAUGGCAGCACUUCCUUCAGCACGGGUCCCUAAAUGCCUAUAUGGAGCAGAGACUCACCCACCCCCAUUCCUGCCUAUGUCACAAACUGGACUUCCUGUGAGCAAGAAAUAAAUGUCUAUUGUAUUGAGUCACUGAGACUUGGGGGUUUAUCUGUUAAAGUAGCUGGUGUUUCCUCAACUGCUAUAGGAGACUCCAUUGAGCUUUCCACCUUCAGAGUCCUUGUCUAGAUCAGCAGGUAGUGUUGCACUGGCCAGCUGCUCAACAUAUCUGUUUGAAUAAUAUGCUUGAGAACCAGGGAGAUUAAUACAAAAUAAAUUCACGUAACCACUGUAUCCAUUGUGGGAUGGACAGUGGCCCCAAAUGCAUGACUCGUCUGACUUCCAAAGCCCAGCCCUCAUCAGUGGACUGUGGGGGCAUCAGAAUGUCCAAGAAGUGGGGCUUCCCUGGUGGCACAGUGGUUGAGAGUCCGCCUGCCGAUGCAGGGGACACGGGUUCGUGCCCCGGUCCGGGAAGAUCCCACAUGCCGCGGAGCGGCUGGGCCCGUGAGCCAUGGCCGCUGAGCCUGCGCGUCCGGAGCCUGUGCUCCGCAACGGGAGAGGCCACAACAGUGAAAGGCCCGCCUACCGCAAAAAAAAAAAAAAAAAA